rnacentral:rRNA from 1 species
AUUAUACCGUGAAACUGCGAAUGGCUCAUUAAAUCAGUUAUCGUUUAUUUGAUAGUACCUUACCACUUGGAUAACCGUGGUAAUUCUAGAGCUAAUACAUGCUAAAAACCCCGACUUCGGAAGGGGUGUGUUUAUUAGAUAAAAAACCAAUGCCCUUCGGGGCUCUUUGGUGAUUCAUGAUAACCUAACGGAUCGCAUGGCCUUGCGCCGGCGACGGUUCAUUCAAAUUUCUGCCCUAUCAACUUUCGAUGGUAAGGUAUUGGCUUACCAUGGUUUCAACGGGUAACGGGGAAUUAGGGUUCGAUUCCGGAGAGGGAGCCUGAGAAACGGCUACCACAUCCAAGGAAGGCAGCAGGCGCGCAAAUUACCCAAUCCCGACACGGGGAGGUAGUGACAAUAAAUACUGAUACAGGGCUCUUUUGGGUCUUGUAAUUGGAAUGAGUACAAUUUAAACCCCUUAACGAGGAACAAUUGGAGGGCAAGUCUGGUGCCAGCAGCCGCGGUAAUUCCAGCUCCAAUAGCGUAUAUUAAAGUUGUUGCAGUUAAAAAGCUCGUAGUUGAAACUUGGGUCUGGCUAGCGGGUCCGCCUCACCGCGUGCACUUGUCCGGCUGGACCUUUCCUUCUGGAGAACCUCAUGCCCUUCACUGGGUGUGUUGGGGAACCAGGACUUUUACUUUGAAAAAAUUAGAGUGUUCAAAGCAGGCCUUUGCUCGAAUACGUUAGCAUGGAAUAAUAGAAUAGGACGUGCGGUCCUAUUUUGUUGGUUUCUAGGAUCGCCGUAAUGAUUAAUAGGGAUAGUCGGGGGCAUCAGUAUUCAAUUGUCAGAGGUGARAUUCUUGGAUUUAUUGAAGACUAACUACUGCGAAAGCAUUUGCCAAGGAUGUUUUCAUUAAUCAGUGAACGAAAGUUAGGGGAUCGAAGACGAUCAGAUACCGUCGUAGUCUUAACCGUAAACUAUGCCGACUAGGGAUCGGGCGAUGUUUCUAUCUUGACUCGCUCGGCACCUUACGAGAAAUCAAAGUUUU